UGCUAACUGGAAAACAAGAACAAAAAUGAACUACUAGGUAGUUGAAACCACUGACUCUUGCUGCUCCUUCCUGCCCCUGGGUAAUUUAUGGCAGCAGAGCUGGGCUCCCACACUGCGGCUGCCACUUUGGCGUGGCUGUUCUGCUCACCGCGCAGGGGGCAGCCGGCCAAGGAGGAAGCCAUGCUGCCCGCUCUGUGGAUUUCAAGCCACACUGCGCAUGCUGGAGUUCCCACAGCCGCCCCUGCAGCCCCUACUCCCGGGAUCUCAGAGGUGCACUGCAGUUACAGUCUACAAACCACUGCUCGCUCAAACUCCAUCCUGAACUUAUGGCCCCAUGUCUGCAAAAAGAGAGGCCGGAUUACGUUGUCUAAGCUGCAAAGAACUGGUAAAUCUUAUAAGCAACAUUCACUGAAAUCUGAAUGGAAAUUUCACUGCCAGGAAUCCAGUGACCAUGAGUUAAGGAUCACCAACACGGUUCAUGUGCUUGAGUACCUUUCCAGAAAUUAUUCUUUAAAACAACCCUUCAGCCCCCUGACCCUACCUCAAAUUCUAAUAGAAAGAAAUGCUGAAGAUCAAAAUCCAAGUCUCAGACUUCAUAGUUUCUCUGAAAUCUGUUGACCAAGGAUUGAAAAGGAAAAUGAGGUCAAAAUCUAGGUCAGGUAAAAUACUGGUCCCAGGCCCAUAUUCUUAAACGUAGGGCUUCCCACAUGGAUGGAUCAGUAGCCGAGAAUUAAAAAUAAAAUCAAGGAGAUCUCCUCCAAGCAUUUUAAUACACUGGAAAGAAAACUUUGCUAAAAACCCUUAUUGUUCCAUUCCAGGAGUAUCUAUGGUAACCAUUUUGAGUGGCUAGCUUUACAGAUAGUUAUAUGUGUCACCAGCAGACGACGGUGUUGUCCAGCCACUCCUUAAUAUUGUCUAGACACCUUUCCCUUGGAUUUCCUUCAGAAAGUUCCCUGGCAUACUUGCCUCAUAACUUUCCACUUUUCACGAGAUGAGCCAGCUCUUCCAACUCCGAUUGUGGUACUUUCAUUAGUUAAAGCCCAGCUUUCCCAGCAAACAGAUUAGCAUUACAUUGGAUUCCACUUCCUCUGGCUAUUCUAACUGCGCAAAUGUUAUUAUCCUUUCAGAGUGUGACCUAACUUUAUUGUAAUGUCAUUCUUUACGGCUCUGAUUAGUCCACUUUUUGAAAAUACGAGCAUUUCACAGUUAGUGAAUCUUCUGAGGCUCACAAGAGUGUGCAGGUCUGGCGAGAAUCACACAGAAGUUUUUGAAAGGCAAAGAAGGUUUUCCCAAGGGUUGCCCAGUAAAAGAUUGGAAGGAAUGAAGAGAGAACCUUUGGGUGUAAUUCUUCCUUACACCCUCCAAAAGAGUCACCACUGUUGGGUGUGUCAUUUGCAAACUGUUUUUUUGUAAACCAUGAACUGUCUUUUAUAAACUUUAAUUUCAUGCCUAGUGUUCAUGCAUACAGUGUUAGCACUCCUUGGCUCUGAUAAACACACCCUCCUCUUACCCUGUCAGGCUUAGGGUCAGUAACAGAGAAAUGGCAGUCCCUUCACAGCCUGUGUGUUCUCUAUACCUUGUCCACCUGUUUGUAAGUAACUCUUUCACUAAACUCUCUUCAUGUAAUUCCAAUGAGUAUGUCGCCUGUUACCCCAUGAAGAGAUGCCAACUCCUUUAUACAACAUGAGUACACAAAGGCAGUUCAAACUCAGUGACUUACAUUCAGAAUAUGGCUCACUUCAUAAAAUACGCAUUCUUUAAAAUGAAUAAAGCCCUACACACUACAAUGUGUAUCUGGCAGAAACACUAUUCACACUCUUAUGAGGACUUCUUGACAGUCAGUUGUAUAUUAGAAUUGUAUCAACUGGGCACAGGCAGGGGUGUUCUGGAAUCAGCUCUUUGGGAACGGCUGACAGCGGAGGUGGAUUCCAAUAUUGUUUAGUGACAUCUUAUUAGUAGAUCAAACUAGUCACAGCAGGAAUGGGCAGCACUGAAAAUCAUAGAUUUUUCUUUGGGAGAACCAGGUAUUGGCACAAAACUUCCCCUAUGGUUCAUAAGAAGGUUGCAGUACCAUGGGUGGUCUUGCAUAUGACAGAUUUUCUUGAUUUAAACUCUCCCCAAAGUAAAUUCUAAGAUACAGACUUGCAUGUGGGCAUCUGAAAGGGCAAUCCCAUGAGGCAGGAAUCAUCUUGGGAAGAUGAAAUAGGGGAUGAGGGAAAGUAAACUAAAGGUAAGCUGAUAUACUGACACUGUAAGUGGCUGGGCUCUUUCUGUGGGCACCCUCUGAAGAACCAUGGAACAGGCUGUACUUGAAAUCCAUGGUCUUCAGAAGGAAUGUGGUAUAAGGCACAAAACCAGCUCUGACACAUCUGAAUCUUCCUGGUCCUGGAAGAAAUGAGCUUGCUGAAUAAACAUUCUUUUUCUUGGAAUAUGGAGCCCUAAGGCCAGAACCAUUUCAGGUAAGAAAAUGACUUAUAAAUAUUCACAAACAUUUGUAACAUACGAAAGAAUCAUGGGAUGCUGUUUCAUUUUCAUACAUGCUCACUAGUCUGAGAAAUUGUGCAUGUUUGCUUGGACUUUCAUGGUAUAUCUAUUAGGGAAGAAAGGAAAUUCAUCUCCCAGGCCUCAGAUGAGAAAGUAAAAGUGGUAAGUGGAUGUCACCAAGGUCAACCAUGUGCUUAUUAAAGAAAGAGUCAGGUUUCCCUGCCUUCUGGAAGCUGUAGCUUGGCCUGUCCACAGAUCUUCUCUGGUAAAUUAACUUCUGUUUUUCUUCAUUUAAGGAGUGAGGGAAGCUCCACACUUUGGAUACCUGAAGCAAGAAACAGCAGUUGCCUUCACAGAAUGUUAAGGAUCCUAAAAUAACCAUCAGUUGUUCUAAUCUGCGUUACUUACAAUGCUUAUUUUCGUUCCACUGCAUUUGGAGAGCUAAUUAAUUACAAGGUGGUCAGGAUAAUUUAUUCUUCCCUAUUAUUAAUGAGGGUGUGUGUGUGUGUGUGUGUGUGUGUGUGUGGUACUGGGGAUUGAACCCAGGACAUUCACACUGAGCUACAUCCUCAGUUCUCUUUUAACAUUUUGUUGUAAUUUUGAGACAGAGUCUCAGUAAGUUGCUUAGUUACCCAGGCUGGGCUCAAACUUUCAAUCCUGAUCUUCCUCUGCUUUGCAGAGUACUGGGAAUUCAAGCAUGUGAAACGACACCUGCUAUUCAUGAGGAUUUCAUUACUUUUCUGCACUCACUAAUGAUUUAAAGAGAAAAGCAAGAGAUACUUUGCAAAAUGACUGUAAAAACUGAAUGCUCAGGGACAGGAAGCUGCAGGGCUUGUGUGUGUUCCUCUCUUCCAUAACCGUUGUUGAAUCUUUAUUAUAUGCCAGGCAUUGCCCUAGCGCCAGGAUACACAACAAAUAAAUGGUCUUAUGACAUUUUUUUCACUUUUUGUUUUCCUUUACAGGAGCAACACGGCACCAAAUUGGUUUUGAAGAUGCUUCAGUAUUUCCUGAAUGCAUGCAGGGCUUCUCCCGGUUCUCCUAGUGCAAUCACCAGGUCACCCGCUUUGCAGUUCACCUGCCUCUGCAUGGCCCCUGCCCCCCUGUAAAGGGCGAAAGGCCAUUUACUCAAGGAAAGGCCUCCCUAAAGUGUCUGAGGAUCUGUAAUGAAGAUGCGGCUUUGCAGUUUGCAAGGGACAAAUAAAUUAAUGAUGGAGAGAGGAUUGUGUUCAAUCAGCAGAGCAUUACGUAGAACUCGUGAUCACAAAGCAAAGAGCUUACAAAAUAGCUGUUAAUGUUAUGGACCUAUUUGCUCUUUUUGUUUUUGCUUUCUGAAGCUUGAGAGGAAAACCAUUAUUAAGUGAAUAUGACAACAACUACACAAACUGUAGCCCUUGGUCCCUUGAGAAAACCUUCUGUCUGCCUUCCUCACCUGCCAAUGGCCCCCAGCACCCCUCUGGGUUGGGAAUGCUGCCUGGGCGGCUCUGGCUGGCCUCUCUCUCACAGGGCCUGAAUAGCAGACACUGGAUAAGUCCCUGUGUGGGUGAAUUUUGCUAGCAGUGGCUGUCCCUGAGCACUGAGAUGCACAGGGGUUCCUACUGAGGUCAGUCACACGGCUUUAUUAUACUGCAUUUCUCUUUGGAGUCCAUCCUCAAGGACAGCUCAGCCCUUAUGGUCUUCCUCUGCCCCCUCCCUGGAGACUUGCUGCCUUUUAUGUCAUGUCUCAUUGAUGGCACUGCAUUGACAAAGCUAACAGAGUCUUGACGAUGUCUGUGGCUCCACCUGAAAUUUGUAUUUGCUGUCCUUAUUCCUGAUGAAAAGCUUCCUAGGAUGUCAUUCACCCAUCAAUGCUUCUAGGAUUCUGAAAUAAGUCUGAGACUUGAAGUGCAUCAUGUACUCACAGGAUAAGCUGUUCAAAACUUAAACUGAAGUCUAGGUAGAGUUGCUGAAAGUUUGCAUUUAAAUAAUGGUCCUGGAAUAAAGUAAAUGCCUCACAGAGGCUAAUAAUGAUGGGUAGUUUUCAUUUAAAAAUGAGUUGGUUACACUAUCAGAUCCUUUUCAAGCUCUGAAGCUAAAAGAUUGAAAUGAAUUUCUAACUUAUAUAAAACUAUGUGGGUUCUCCAUUCUUCCUUGACAAAUGAUCCUAAAAUGUAGUAGCUCAAAAGGACAGGUCUUUAUUUUGCUGGCCAUCUAUGCGGUUGGGUGAGGACUGCUCAUCUCUGCUCCGUGAACGUGGCUGGCAUAGAAGGAGCUGUGUUGGAGGUGACCCAAUCACAUU
rnacentral:lncRNA from 1 species